ACGGAGCAAUACCGCGUGGGGGAGGAAGGCUCUUGGGUUGUAAACCUCUUUUCUCAGGGAAGACCUCGGACGGUACCUGAGGAAUAAGCAUCGGCUAACUCCGUGCCAGCAGCCGCGGUAAUACGGAGGAUGCAAGCGUUAUCCGGAAUGAUUGGGCGUAAAGCGUCCGCAGGUGGCAGUGUAAGUCUGCUGUCAAAGAGUCUGGCUCAACCAGAUAAAGGCAGUGGAAACUACACAGCUAGAGUACGUUCGGGGCAGAGGGAAUUCCUGGUGUAGCGGUGAAAUGCGUAGAGAUCAGGAAGAACACCGGUGGCGAAAGCGCUCUGCUAGGCCGUAACUGACACUGAGGGACGAAAGCUAGGGGAGCGAAUGGGAUUAGAUACCCCAGUAGUCCUAGCCGUAAACGAUGGAUACUAGGUGUUGCUUGUAUCGACCCGAGCAGUACCGUAGCUAACGCGUUAAGUAUCCCGCCUGGGGAGUACGCAGGCAACUGUGAAACUCAAAGGAAUUGACGGGGGCCCGCACAAGCGGUGGAGUAUGUGGUUUAAUUCGAUGCAACGCGAAGAACCUUACCAGGGCUUGACAUGUCGCGAAUUCCGGGGAAACUCGGAAGUGCCUUCGGGAGCGCGAACACAGGUGGUGCAUGGCUGUCAUCAGCUCGUGUCGUGAGAUGUUGGGUUAAGUCCCGCAACGAGCGCAACCCUCGUUUUUAGUUGCCAUCAUUAAGUUGGGCACUCUAGAGAGACUGCCGGUGACAAACCGGAGGAAGGUGGGGAUGACGUCAAGUCAGCAUGCCCCUUACGUCCUGGGCUACACACGUACUACAAUGCUCCGGACAGAGGGCAGCGAGCAUGCAAAUGCAAGCUAAUCCCGUAAACCGGAGCUCAGUUCAGAUCGCAGUCUGCAACUCGCCUGCGUGAAGUUGGAAUCGCUAGUAAUUGCAGGUCAGCAUACUGCGGUGAAUUCGUUCCCGGGCCUUGUACACACCGCCCGUCACACCAUGGAAGCUGGUAGUGCCCGAAGUCAUUACCCCAACCUUCGGGAGGGGGAUGCCUAAGGCAGGA
rnacentral:rRNA from 1 species